rnacentral:lncRNA from 1 species
AGAAUCAUAGGACAAUUGAUAUGAACUCCAGUAAUAUCUUAAUCAUCAUCCUGACAGACAAAUACAUCAAACAAGACCUCUCCAAUACUUACUUUUACUGUAAUACAGGUUCUUGUAACCACUGAAAUAUGCAUAAUAUGUUGAUGUAUAUAAUGUCAAAAUCUUUUCCCAUCUCAUCCUUUUCUCCCUCGGUUUGGUUUUCCUAACCAAACUUGAAUCCAAAGACCUUUCAUACUUAAUCUAAUAAUACUUGGUGUGUUUCUUUAGACCUUCACAACAUCCUCAUGUUGACAAAGCAUUACAGUCUUGUUGAAUUCUUAGCUCCAUGCUCCUCUUUUUCCUAUCCCUUCGAGGGUGGGGCAAGCAUCAUCUUUAUGCUGAUGUGCAUGUCCUGAUUCUUCUUUAUCUUUGGCUGCCUUUCUUGCUCUUAAACAUGUGAGUGCCAUCCCCUCCUUUAACCUGCACGAGAUGCAAAAGGUUGGAUGAAUGAAAGGCAAAAUCUAUUUACAUCAUCAAAAUAUAUGAGUUAACAUAAGUAGAAAAAGCAUAUUUUUCGAUCAAUAUACAACUAAAUAUACUUAUCAAUGCUCAUAGUAGGAGAGCCAAGAACUAAUUCUAU